rnacentral:rRNA from 1 species
AGUGAACGCUGGCGGUAGGCCUAACACAUGCAAGUCGAACGGCAGCACAGUAAGAGCUUGCUCUUACGGGUGGCGAGUGGCGGACGGGUGAGGAAUACAUCGGAAUCUACUUUUUCGUGGGGGAUAACGUAGGGAAACUUACGCUAAUACCGCAUACGACCUACGGGUGAAAGCAAGGGAUCUUCGGACCUUGCGCGAUUGUAUGAGCCGAUGUCGGAUUAGCUAGUUGGCGGGGUAAAGGCACACCAAGGCGACGAUCCGUAGCUGGUCUGAGAGGAUGAUCAGCCACACUGGAACUGAGACACGGUCCAGACUCCUACGGGAGGCAGCAGUGGGGAAUAUUGGGCAAUGGGCGCAAGCCUGAUCCAGCCAUACCGCGUGAGUGAAGAAGGCCUUCGGGUUGUAAAGCCCUUUUGUUGGGAAAGAAAAGCAGCAGGUUAAUCCCCCGCUGUUCUGACGGUACCCAAAGAAUAAGCACCGGCUAACUUCGUG